AUUUUCUAUCGUUAUUUCUGUUGUGGAAACAUCGUGUGCAGCCAAGAAACAACAAAAUAAUUUAACUGAAGCUUUAUCAUUACUAUUGACAAAAUCUUGAAUAUUUGAAUUUGUUCACCUUUUCCUAUGAAUACAAUGCGAGGUGAAAUUACAAGGAAAAAUCUGAGGGCAACACCUGAAGCGAACAGUUUGACUAGAUCAAUAUUUAUUUAAAAUCCAGCUUAAAUAAUUGAGGUAAAAUAAGAUCAUAUUUUCACAUGACACCAAGCCCAAUUCACUGAGGAUACCAUGAAAUUUGAGACAAAACCCUGAUUUUAUCAUAUCUUUCAAAAGUUCAUAGAUCAAUUUAUAUGGUUUACAAAUUUCUCGUUGCAAACAAGCAUAAACCCAAACUUUCAUCUGGUGCAGUAAAAUUGGAACCAUUAUUUAACCUGAUAAAGGACAGAUGGCCAGGCUGAUCCUCGGACUGGAAAACAUAUUGCCCUCAGACCAACAUAGGCUGGGGUGUAUAAAAAAUAACCACAUUAAACUGACCAGUUGUAAGAAAACUAGUUGAAACAUUAUGAGUUUUGGUAUUCUAAUUAUUGUAAUAGUAUUAUGCUUCAAAUGUGAUUUCAUUGGUGUUGUGUCCAUUUAAUUCUUAUUUUUGUAUAAUUUUUUAUUAUCACUAUUUUCUCAAAUUUUGAUUUGAUAACUUUUUUGUGAUAAUUUUCCAUAUUAAGAUACUUCCUCUCAUAUUCAAAACCAUCUACAACUAUUUAUAUUUUUGUUUUGCUUGUUACCAGAAAUAUUUAUUGAACAGAUAUAUCAUGUUAAGGAGGGGUAUUUGCGAA
rnacentral:lncRNA from 1 species